rnacentral:rRNA from 1 species
AUGGGUUCGAUGGGGCCCGCCGCCGGGAAGCCGCACGCGGUGUGCCUGCCGUACCCGGCGCAGGGGCACAUCACCCCGAUGCUCAACGUCGCCAAGCUGCUCCACGCCCGGGGCUUCCACGUCACCUUCGUCAACACCGAGUACAACCACGCGCGUCUCGUCCGCUCCCGCGGCCUCGCCGCCGUGGCCGGCCUCCCGGGCUUCCGCUUCGCCACCAUCCCCGACGGCCUGCCGCCGUCCGACGACGACGACGUCACGCAGGACAUCCCGGCGCUCUGCAAGUCCACCACGGAGACCUGCCUCGGGCCCUUCCGCAGCCUUCUCGCCCGGCUCAACGACCCCGCCGCGGGCCACCCGCUGGUCACCUGCGUCGUCUCCGACGUCGUCAUGGGCUUCUCCAUGGAGGCUGCCAACGAGCUCGGCCUCACCUACGUCCAGCUCUGGACCGCCAGCGCCAUCAGCUACCUCGGGUACCGCCACUACCGCCUCCUCAUCGGCCGGGGCAUCGUCCCACUCAAAGGUACAUAUGCCGAGCAGCUGACGAACGGAUACCUUGACAUGCCGGUGGAAGACGUGCCUGGCCUGAGGAGCAUGAGGCUCAGGGACUUCCCGUCCUUCAUACGCACCACUGACCCGGACGAGUACAUAGUGCACUACGUCCUAAGGGAGACGGAGCGCACGGCCGGCGCGUCUGCCGUCAUCCUCAACAGCUUCGCCGACCUGGAGGGCGAGUCGGUGGAGGCCAUGGAGGCGCUCGGCCUGCCCAAGGUGUAUACGCUCGGCCCUCUCCCGCUGCUGGCGCGCGAGGAGCCGCCCACGCCGCGCUCCGCCAUCAACCUCAGCCUGUGGAAGGAGCAGGAGGAGUGCCUGCAGUGGCUGGAAGGCAGGGAGCCCGGCUCCGUCGUGUACGUCAACUUCGGCAGCAUCACCGUCAUGACCAGCGCGCAGAUGGUGGAGUUCGCGUGGGGGCUGGCGCAGAGCGGGAAGCAGUUCAUGUGGAUCGUCCGCCGAGACCUGGUGAGAGGCGACGCCGCCGUGCUCCCCGAGGAGUUCCUGGCCGAGACGGCGGGGCGCGGGCUCAUGGCGUCCUGGUGCCCGCAGCCGGAGGUGCUGGACCACCCCGCCGUGGGCGCCUUCCUAACGCACAGCGGCUGGAACUCGGCCCUGGAGAGCUUGUGCGGCGGCGUGCCAGUGAUCAGCUGGCCUUUCUUCGCCGACCAGCAGACCAACUGCAGGUACCAGUGCAACGAGUGGGGCGUCGGCAUGGAGAUCGAUAGCAACGUCCGGCGCGAUGCCGUCGCGGGACUUAUCACGGAGAUCAUGGAAGGGGAGAAGGGGAAGGGGAUGAGGAAGAGAGCGGCGCAGUGGAAGGACAGCGCGGUCAAGGCGGCCAUGCCUGGCGGCUCGUCUCACCGCAACUUCGACGGGCUGGUCCGCGACGUGCUCCUGCCCAAGAACUAG